ensembl:lncRNA HCG18 HLA complex group 18
CUCGGCUCACUGCAACCUCCGCAUCAUAGGUUCAAGUGAUUCUUCUGCCUCAGCCUCCCAGUAGCUGGGACUACAGGCACAUGCCACCAUGCCCAGCUAAUUUUUGUAUUUUUAGUAGAGACAGGGUUUCACCACGUUGGCCAGGAUGGUCUCAAUCUCGACCUCGUGAUCUGCCUGCCUCGGCCUUCCAAAGUGCUGGGAUUACAAGCGUGAGCCACCUUGCCCUGCCUCCUGUGGCUGUCUUGUUGAGUCAUUUGUCUCUGCUUUUCUUGUUGCUCUGGUCUCAGUCUUGUGAUUUACUCCUAGAGGUGCUGGCAAGCCUGAGCUCAGAUUUAGGAAUAAUGGGGUUGGGACAGGAGAAGGAUGAGAUAGGGACUAGCAGCUGAUGAAAAGGAAGGGUGGACAUAUUCAUCGUAGGGGUUUCAGGAACUCCAUUAUCUCACACUCAGCCCCUUUGUCAUCUCUGGGAUCAACACAGUGUUAUCAUCGAUCAGCCCCCAGAUUCACUUCAGUGAAUCUGUAAAGAACAAGCAUGUCCUCCUCAUCCCACGAAUUCUGCUGCUUAGAAAGCCACCUGAAAGUGAUAGCCCUUAAAGUCCUCAGUCUGCCCCUUUAGAGCACCACAGAAAGAUCCCUGAAUGGAGAUCCUGACCCUUAAGUAUGGAACUGCUGGGAAGAGCUAUUUGGAGAUUAUCAUUACAUGGAGGAGCUCCCUCUUUGCCCACUAGCAGGGCAUUAGCUGGUGCUGAAGACAGUGGCUGCUUGGCGAGCCUGGAUCUCCAAGUGACCCCCUCAGCAACUCCUGAUGAACAGGACUGAAGCCAAUAUUAAAGCAAGUCAACCAAAGGUUCUCUGGUGUAGACAAGACAGCAAAAGGACAGACUACCUUGUGGAACCUAGCAUUGUUCUCCUUCUGCAGCACUAAGUAACAUUUGUUCUCCGUUAAGAUCUUUGCAAACCACACACAAGAAUUGCUGGUCAUCCUGCCAAUAGAUGCUGCUCACAGAACCAAAUUUCCUGUGCUGAAUUGUCACUCAUGGGCUUGAGAGUAGGAGACUGGAGACCAAGGUGGCUAGAAUCCAGUUGGGCCUGAUGUCUCCCUGUUGAAAGGGCUCCUUGUGGAAUGAAUAGCACAUGGCUCCUGUGGUGGAUCUGAUAGUGGCAUAGCACCAAGUGAUGCAGGCCUGCCAGGGGCCACAGACACAGAAGAUGCUCCCGGGGUCCCCCAUGUACUCCAGACACACUGCAGGCCACCUCUCCCAGCAGGUUGCCAGUCAUGGGCCCCAUCAUCAUGACUUCUGUCCAAGGUGUGCUCGGAAAUCUCUUCCUUAACUGUGACUUUCUGACAGGUGGAGGAUGUGGUCAGGAGUGGGAAAAGGAUUCGAGACGGGAAGAGGGAGGGGUUCAGGAUGAAGAGAGAUAAUCUGUGCCACAGAUGCUGGCCCUGCAGUUAGCUCCCACCUAGUCCGUGCACACACAUUCUAAUCCCCUCCCAUUCCUUUACAUGCUGCGGCCAGAGAGGCCUUUCUCAAAGUGGAAGUCUCAUCCUCACUUCUCUGGUUACAGUGCUGGGCCAUGGUAACUUACAAGGCUUAGCAGGAACUGUCUGCGCACUCCCCCUUCCUGCCCACUACCUUGUUUCCCUCCAGUUGCGAGAGAAAACAUUGAUUGAGCAUUAACUAUGUGCCAGGCUUGUCCUAAGUCCUUUGCAUGUAUUCACUCAAACAAUCCUCACAACAUUCCUAUCACAUCUCCCAUUUCACAGUGAGGGUUCUAAAGCACGUAGUGGGUGAGGAACUUGUCCAGGGUCACACAACUAAGUGGGGGUGGAGAAACAUCAAAUCUAGGUGGUCCAGGUGGUGGCCAGAACCCAUCAGCACCUCACUACAGCUGCCUCCAGUUUCUCGCUCUAGGAAAUACUCUUCCCUGUCAACUCCUGUUGUCCUCUGGGCUCAGUUGACAUGUCAUCUCCUUGAGGAGGACAUCCUGAGAUGCUCCCCGACUAGGGUGGGCACCCACUUCCACACUCCAAAUGCCUAUUUGACCUGUGUAUCGCUGCAUCCCCACUGCCUGGCAGAUAGCAGGCCCCUAAUAAAUAUGAUUUGAGCAAAUAAAUAUAGUUCUUCAAAAAAUAGGGAGGACUUCUUGCUUCAGGUAAUGGUAGGCUAGGACAUUUGGACCAACCCUCCUGCAGAAAAUAGCCAUUUAUUUUGAUGCAAUAUAUCUGGCUAUGACUAGAGAUUUCAAAUAUUUGGAGGGCUAUUAUGUGAAGAACUAAACUUACUCUUUGUGACAUAGAGGUCAGAAAUUGGUCGUUUCCAUAGAGUAUGAGAGAGACAGAAUUGUGCUCAUCAUAAGUAUCUUUUUUAAAAGUUAGACUUAAUAAAAUGGGCUGCCUUGGUAGGUGGUGAGUUCUCUGUCACGAAAGAGAUUCAGCCACUUGCUCUGAGAAAGCAUGGAGAAUAUCAACAUUGUAAGGGUCGACCACCUCAUCUCUGAGGCCCCCUCCUCACUUAGGUUGCCAUUGCAGGUGGAACACUGGGCUGAGUGUCAAAGAACCUGGGUUCCACAAGCUGUGCGACCAUGGCUGGUUGUUUUGGAUCUCAUUCCUAAUAUCUGUUAGUUAAGCUGACCCGUCAAUACUGACCCACUUCACAGAGUUAUGAAGGGAUUAAAUUAGGUAUUACAUGUAAAUCUGUUUUGUUUGCUUUUUGUUGUUCUUUUUUGUUUUGCUUUUUUCUUUGCAUUAUGAAAUCCCAAGUCAACUUUUUCCAUUCUUUUAUUUUUUUAAAAAUUGACAUCAUCAUUAUAACCACAAAAUAAUUUUUAAAAUGGAAAAAAAAAACUCACCUGCAACCCCAC